rnacentral:rRNA from 1 species
CCUGCGGGAGGCUGCAGUGGGGAAUAUUGGACAAUGGGCGAAAGCCUGAUCCAGCCAUGCCGCGUGUGUGAAGAAGGCCUUCGGGUUGUAAAGCACUUUCAGUGGGGAAGAAAGCCUUGGGGCUAAUACCCUCGAGGAAGGACAUCACCCACAGAAGAAGCACCGGCUAACUCCGUGCCAGCAGCCGCGGUAAUACGGAGGGUGCGAGCGUUAAUCGGAAUUACUGGGCGUAAAGCGCGCGUAGGCGGUCUGAUAAGCCGGUUGUGAAAGCCCCGGGCUCAACCUGGGAACGGCAUCCGGAACUGUCAGGCUAGAGUGCAGGAGAGGAAGGUAGAAUUCCCGGUGUAGCGGUGAAAUGCGUAGAGAUCGGGAGGAAUACCAGUGGCGAAGGCGGCCUUCUGGACUGACACUGACGCUGAGGUGCGAAAGCGUGGGUAGCAAACAGGAUUAGAUACCCUGGUAGUC